rnacentral:rRNA from 1 species
GAUGAACGCUGGCGGCGUGCCUAAUACAUGCAAGUCGAACGCACAGCGAAAGGUGCUUGCACCUUUCAGGUGAGUGGCGAACGGGUGAGUAACACGUGGAUAACCUACCUCAAGGUUGGGGAUAACAUUUGGAAACAGAUGCUAAUACCGAAUAAAACUUCGUAUCGCAUGAUACAAGGUUAAAAGGCGCUACGGCGUCACCUAGAGAUGGAUCCGCGGUGCAUUAGUUAGUUGGUGGGGUAAAGGCUACAAGACAAUGAUGCAUAGCCGAGUUGAGGGACUGAUCGGCCACAUUGGGACUGAGAC